UACGGAGGGUGCAAGCGUUAUCCGGAUUCACUGGGUUUAAAGGGUGCGUAGGUGGAUAGUAAGUCAGUGGUGAAAUCUCCGGGCUUAACCCGGAAACUGCCAUUGAUACUAUUAGUCUUGAAUACCGUGGAGGUCAGCGGAAUAUGUCAUGUAGCGGUGAAAUGCUUAGAUAUGACAUAGAGCACCAAUUGCGAAGGCAGCUGGCUACACGAGCAUUGACACUCAGGCACGAAAGCGUGGGGAUCAAACGG
rnacentral:rRNA from 1 species